AUUAGUGGCGAACGGGUGAGUAACACSUGGGCAAUCUGCCCUGUACUUUGGGAUAAGCCUGGGAAACUGGGUCUAAUACCGGAUAUCACCUUCCCUCGCAUGGGGGUUGGUUGAAAGUUCUGGCGGUACAGGAUGAGCCCGCGGCCUAUCAGCUUGUUGGUGGGGUAAUGGCCUACCAAGGCGACGACGGGUAGCCGGCCUGAGAGGGUGACCGGCCACACUGGGACUGAGACACGGCCCAGACUCCUACGGGAGGCAGCAGUGGGGAAUAUUGCACAAUGGGCGAAAGCCUGAUGCAGCGACGCCGCGUGAGGGAUGACGGCCUUCGGGUUGUAAACCUCUUUCGCCAGGGACGAAGCGCAAGUGACGGUACCUGGAUAAGAAGCACCGGCUAACUACGUGCCAGCAGCCGCGGUAAUACGUAGGGUGCGAGCG
rnacentral:rRNA from 1 species